rnacentral:rRNA from 1 species
AUGCAUUGGUACACUUGGUGGAAGUUAUGUUACCCAAAGAAUGAGGGUGGUAUGGGAUUCCGAGACCUUUACUCCUUUAGCCUAGCAAUGCUUUCGAAGCAAUGUUGGCGGCUUGUCACUGACCCACAUUCUUUAUGUGCUCGGGUGCUGAAGGCGAAGUACUUCCUAAACUGCAGCAUACUCGAAGCCACUUUGAAAAAUGGCGCAUCUUUUACUUGGCAAAGCAUCAUGAAGGGCGUUGCUACGUUCAAACUGGGAUAUAUAUGGAGGAUUGGGAAUGGUGAGAGCAUCAAUAUUUGGAAUGACCCCUGGGUACCAGCAAGUCCGGAUAGAAAAAUUAUCUCUGUACGUGGGCAGACUGUGUUGUCAAGAGUCAGCGAUCUAAUAGACCCAAAUACUGGGAUGUGGGAUGAAGAUCUUCUUCUAUCUAUCCUGAACCCAGUGGACGUUCGGAGAGUGCUGCAAAUCCCACUUAGUUACAACUCAUUUGAGGAUUUCAUCGCUUGGCAUCCAGACCGAAGGGGAAUUUUUUCAGUAAGGUCUGCGUACAAACUGCAAUAGAGUCAUACCUACCAGGCGCAGCAAAACUUAAGGGAGAGACCGGGGGGGUUCAAACUACCUGAAAUAUGGACGAGGCUAUGGAAGCUAAAAGUUCCACGAAAGGUUUCCAUCUUCUGUAGGCGUUCGCUGCAUGGAAUAAUACCCUUAAAAUCCAUACUUACCAAUAGGCAUGUUGGUUCAGAUAGUGCAUGUCCAAUAUGCCACCAGUGA